AGCGAACGCUGGCGGCGUGCCUAACACAUGCAAGUCGAACGUGAAAUGGGGCAACCCAAAGUAAAGUGGCGUACGGGUGAGUAACACGUAGGUAAUCUACCUUAGAGUCUGGAAUAACCGGCCGAAAGGCUGGCUAAUACUGGAUAGAGCGACGGAACUCGUAAUUGGGUUUUUCGGGAAAGGGAGCUCGCAAGAGCCUUCGCUUUAAGAUGAGCCUGCGUCUCAUUAGCUAGUUGGUAAGGUAAUGGCUUACCAAGGCAGUGAUGAGUAGCUGGUCUGAGAGGAUGAUCAGCCACACUGGAACUGAAACACGGUCCAGACUCCUACGGGAGGCAGCAGUGGGGAAUCUUGCGCAAUGGACGAAAGUCUGACGCAGCCACGCCGCGUGAGUGAAG
rnacentral:rRNA from 1 species